rnacentral:rRNA from 1 species
UAGCUAGUUGGUGAGGUAACGGCUUACCAAGGCGACGAUCUGUAGCGGGUCUGAGAGGAUGAUCCGCCACACUGGAACUGAGACACGGUCCAGACUCCUACGGGAGGCAGCAGUGGGGAAUUUUGGACAAUGGGGGCAACCCUGAUCCAGCCAUGCCGCGUGAGUGAAGAAGGCCUUCGGGUUGUAAAGCUCUUUCGGCCGGGAAGAAAUCGCAUGGGCCAAUACCCUGUGUGGAUGACGGUACCGGAAUAAGAAGCACCGGCUAACUACGUGCCAGCAGCCGCGGUAAUACGUAGGGUGCGAGCGUUAAUCGGAAUUAUUGGGCGUAAAGCGUGCGCAGGCGGUUUUGUAAGACAGGCGUGAAAUCCCCGGGCUCAACCUGGGAACUGCGUUUGUGACUGCAAGGCUAGAGUACGGCAGAGGGGGGUGGAAUUCCACGUGUAGCAGUGAAAUGCGUAGAGAUGUGGAGGAACACCAAUGGCGAAGGCAGCCCCCUGGGUCGAUACUGACGCUCAUGCACGAAAGCGUGGGUAGCAAACAGGAUUAGAUACCCUGGUAGUCCACGCCCUAAACUAUGUCAACUAGGUGUUGGGUGGGUAAAACCAUUUAGUACCGUAGCUAACGCGUGAAGUUGACCGCCUGGGGAGUACGGCCGCAAGGUUAAAACUCAAAGGAAUUGACGGGGACCCGCACAAGCGGUGGAUGAUGUGGAUUAAUUCGAUGCAACGCGAAAAACCUUACCUACCCUUGACAUGCCAGGAACUUGCCAGAGAUGGCUUGGUGCCCGAAAGGGAGCCUGGACACAGGUGCUGCAUGGCUGUCGUCAGCUCGUGUCGUGAGAUGUUGGGUUAAGUCCCGCAACGAGCGCAACCCUUGUCGUUAAUUGCCAUCAUUUAGUUGGGCACUUUAGCGAGACUGCCGGUGACAAACCGGAGGAAGGUGGGGAUGACGUCAAGUCCUCAUGGCCCUUAUGGGUAGGGCUUCACACGUCAUACAAUGGUCGGUACAGAGGGUCGCCAAGCCGCGAGGUGGAGCCAAUCCCAGAAAGCCGAUCGUAGUCCGGAUUGCAGGCUGCAACUCGCCUGCAUGAAGUCGGAAUCGCUAGUAAUCGUGGAUCAGCAUGUCACGGUGAAUACGUUCCCGGGUCUUGUACACACCGCCCGUCACACCAUGGGAGCGGGUUCCGCCAGAAGUAGGUAGCCUAACCGCAAGGAGGGCGCUUACCACGGCGGGGUUCGUGACUGGGGUGAAGUCGGAACAAGGUAGCCGUAGGGGAACCUGCGGCUG